rnacentral:sRNA from 1 species
UGGAAAAGAAAAUACUCAAUCGGAGUACCAUUUAGUAGCUUGUAAGGAUAAAGGAAGGAAAAUAUCAUUGUUUAUGCCUGGUCAAAUGUUUUUUACCCUACAGAUUUGAGUUACAGAAUACCACUGCCCAGUUAUUGUUUCAUAUAAGAAAUCUCUUAGAUAAUGAGAUUUUCAAUAUCAGUAUAUUUUAACUUUAUUUUUACUUUUAAGGUUGAUUGUAUAUCCUCCACCACCUACUAAGGGGGGAUUAGGAGUAACUAAUGAAGAUCUGGAGUGUUUAGAAGAAGGAGAGUUUCUUAAUGAUGUAAUCAUUGAUUUUUACCUUAAGUAUCUUAUAUUGGAGAAGGCAUCAGAUGAACUUGUUGAACGAAGUCACAUUUUUAGUAGCUUUUUCUAUAAAUGCUUGACAAGAAAGGAAAAUAAUUUAACAGAAGAUAAUCCAAAUCUUUCGUAAGUUAAUCCUCUAAUGUACUUAAGUUUUAAGAGAAAAUAUACUAUUUUUGAUGCUCCUAGUAAAGUGGCUUCUUUAUAGUAUUUCCUGAAGUAGGCAGUACUACCAUUUGUGCAGGUCCUGGGUCUGUUUGCCAUGAGAGCCAUUUCUCAUCCUUCCACUGUUUUGCUGCCCAUGACAAGGAGGCUGACGCUUGCAGUCUGCAUUUCCAGUUGCAUGUCCCUGGGGGAUAUCCUGGAAGUUGGAGGGCAAGGAAGAAAGAAGCUAGGUUAUUUCUUCCCUACUCUCUUUGCAUUGGGAAAUGAUUCUGACAGUGGCUGUAUUUCCUCUGUGAGUCCACCUCUCACAGGACAGACCUGCUGUAACUCCAGCUUCCAUC